UGGAGAUUGUGUUCUGUGGAGUGCAUGGCAGGCUUUGCUCUUCAGAGAGAGCUCCCUGCCCUCCAGGAGAUCUGCAAGCUUUCACAGACUCAAGGGAUUCCUUCUAAAAGGCAGCCUAACAUAGAAAAGAUAAAUUGAGAAUGGAGCAAAUCUAAAGAAAUAUCCUAAGAGAUCUGAAAUGAAACUCAGGCACAUCAGACAUGCUGGAUUGAUGGAGCUGGGCACUGAUGCACCAGGUCUGUUCCAGCUGUGAUGACCGGGGAAGAAUUGAAUCUGGAUCCUUUUAACCAGUCCUCCAAGAGUAAGAUUUCAGUUACCAUGACUGUUCGCCAAGGACUAUUUUAUUCUAACCCAUGUCAAAUUUGAGCUUACCUAUGGGGCUAAACCACAACCUUGUAAGCCAAGUGUAUCUAAAUACAAACUGAUUUCGCUGUUUGUUACUUUUUGGAAAACUUAGCCACAUACAGUUGUUUGGAACAAUCUCCACAAAACUAAACUUUUCAAGCUUUGCUGAAUUUGAAAUACUGCAUUCUCAUUCCUCUCAGCAUAGAAAGGCAGUCCAGUAGUUCCUUGUUUAUUUUUAAAAAAGCAAAAUGAACAGGAGUUAGAU